rnacentral:tRNA from 1 species
AAAUAAGAAACAAUAAUUGUAGUUAGUUUCGACCUAACCCUUUGAUGAUAAAAUAAUCACCCUUAUUUA